GUAGUGUUGGUUCAGUGAUAGAAUUCCUGCCUUCGGUGCAGGAGACCCAGGUUCGAUUCCUAAUCUUUUCA
rnacentral:tRNA from 1 species